AAGGAAAAGGACAAGGAAAAGGACAAGGAAAAGAUGUUGAGGAUGAACCAAUGCAACAGGAUGACCAAGAGUAAGCACUACUGGUGCUGCCAAUGUCGCAAGGAAGGCCAAGCUGUUGACCAAGCUCCUCCUUUCCUCCUAAUUAGAAGCGAUCAUUCACUGGAUGAAUUGUACCAAAAAGCAGGGCUGGUGGUGGGACUAGUGACUUUAUUUCUGUCUACUGGGUUUAGGGAGCUUUCAAUGACAAUAAAGUAAGUGUAUCAUC